UCUCUGAUAGUAUAUCGGUUAGUACACGCGCCUGUCAAUGAUUGAAAUGACGCGCGAAAGCUGGGUUCGACUCCCAGUCAGAGAG